rnacentral:rRNA from 1 species
ACUUAACCUAUAUCGGCGCACGGGUGCGUAACGCGUAUGCAACCUACCUUUUACUGGGGGAUAGCCCGGAGAAAUCUGGAUUAAUACCCCAUGGUACCUAGAGGUCGAAUGAUUUUUAGUUUAAAGAUUUAUCGGUAAGAGAUGGGCAUGCGUCUGAUUAGCUAGUUGGCGGGGUAACGGCCCACCAAGGCGACGAUCAGUAGGGGUUCUGAGAGGAAGGUCCCCCACACUGGCACUGAGAUACGGGCCAGACUCCUACGGGAGGCAGCAGUAGGGAAUAUUGGGCAAUGGUCGCAAGACUGACCCAGCCAUGCCGCGUGCAGGAAGACGGCCCUCUGGGUUGUAAACUGCUUUUAUCUGGGAAGAAAAAGUCCAUGCGUGGAAAAUUGCCGGUACCAGAUGAAUAAGCACCGGCUAACUCCGUGCCAGCAGCCGCGGUAAUACGGAGGGCGCAAGCGUUGUC